rnacentral:rRNA from 1 species
CACCGCGGUCACACAAGAAGCCCAAGCCAACAGUCACACGGCGUAAAGAGUGGACUAGUACCUGUCAUAAUAACUAGGCAACCAAAGCACAGCUAAGCUGUCAUAAGCUCAAGACGCCCCUAAAGCCAACCUAAAAACGGUCCUAGUAAACCUGACUGACCAAACCCCACGAAAGCUAGGACC